rnacentral:lncRNA from 1 species
CUUUUGCUUUUUUUUCUUGGUGGUAGCUUUUGAAAAAUCACCGUAUUGGUCCAUGGGAGAAGUGCCACCACGCAGCUCCUUUGCUCCAAGGGAGGCAGUGCAGUCUGGCAGUGACAUGGCUGAGAACAUUGAUCUGAAGCUGUAUCCUGAAAUGCUGAGACCAUUGGUGAGCUGUAGGAGGCCUUCAGCAACCACCAGCUUUACUCCAAAAGGAAAAGGGGGCAGGACACGAGGUUUUGAAUGAACAGUUAGACUCAGGCUCCUUUCCUCAAAGGCUUGAAAUCAUGGUCUGGCAGAAGGAUCCACCAACAUGUGUGAAAUGGACACAGGAGAGCAGGGAAGAGAAGAACCAUUUUUCUGGUGCCAGGUCCUAGCCUGAUGUUCCCUGUAACAGAGCCUGACCUUGCAGUUCUGAUUGCCAGUCAGUCUGGUGCCCUGUGGCCUUGGCUUUCACCCUGCCUUCCUCUCUGAGGAGAGAAUUCCUCUUGGGCAGCAAAAAAAAGCACACUGGCUGUGGCACAGUGAGAAAUUCUGCCUUUCUGCUGCCCACACUCUGCACGCCCUGUGAGAAGGAAGUCUGCCUGAAAUCUUCCCCAGCCCUUAAAAACAGAAACGGGCAUGGCACAUACCAGUGUUCAUUGAAUUGGGAUUGAUUUCUAAUAUUCUUUGAUCAAACCUCAAGUUUGAUCAUGUUUUCAUGAUCAAGUUCUCAUGUCUGAGCCUUGAAUUUGGGUUAUUGACGUUUUAGAAAGACUACUUUCUGGUCUGCUUCUCUAGGACCACUCAGAACUCUUCAAAUAAAACCAGAUCUGUGGUUUUCUCCA